rnacentral:rRNA from 1 species
ACGGCUCAGUAACACGUAGUCAACAUGCCCAGGGGACGUGGAUAACCUCGGGAAACUGAGGAUAAACCGCGAUAAGUCAUUACUUCUGGAAUGGGUAAUGACUAAAAUCUACAUGGCCCCUGGAUUGGACUGCGGCCGAUCAGGCUGUCGGUGAGGUAAUGGCCCACCAAACCUGUAACCGGUACGGGCUCUGAGAGGAGGAGCCCGGAGAUGGGCACUGAGACAAGGGCCCAGGCCCUAUGGGGCGCAGCAGGCGCGAAACCUCUGCAAUAGGCGAAAGCCUGACAGGGUUACUCUGAGUGAUUUCCGUUAAGGAGAUCUUUUGGCACCUCUAAAAAUGGUGCAGAAUAAGGGGUGGGCAAGUCUGGUGUCAGCCGCCGCGGUAAUACCAGCACCCCGAGUGGUCGGGACGUUUAUUGGGCCUAAAGCAUCCGUAGCCGGUUCUACAAGUCUUCCGUUAAAUCCACCUGCUUAACAGAUGGGCUGCGGAAGAUACUAUAGAGCUAGGAGGCGGGAGAGGCAAGCGGUACUCGAUGGGUAGGGGUAAAAUCCGUUGAUCCAUUGAAGACCACCAGUGGCGAAGGCGGCUUGCCAGAACGCGCUCGACGGUGAGGGAUGAAAGCUGGGGGAGCAAACCGGAUUAGAUACCCGGGUAGUCCCAGCUGUAAACGAUGCAGACUCGGUGAUGAGUUGGCUUCUUGCCAACUCAGUGCCGCAGGGAAGCCGUUAAGUUUGCCGCCUGGGGAGUACGGUCGCAAGACUGAAACUUAAAGGAAUUGGCGGGGGAGCAC